CAUCUUUUUAAGUGGGAGAACUUGCACAAUUGGUGGCUGACUAAAUACUUUUUUGCCCCACUGUACAAAGGAAGCUUGUUUUUGCCAUUAUAUGAUGAGGGAUUUUAAAUUGUCUGUCUGGUGUUUCAGUGCCCCUCAAGAAAACCAGCCCUUCAACAAGAUGUUAUUCCUGAUCUAUAUAAUUUCCUCUCUCCAUCUCUUUCUUACUGAUGUCAGAUAUAGAUAACUACCUGGUCCACAGGAGGAUGGUGGCACCUUGAUUGGGAAGGAAGGGCUCGUGGUAAUGGCUGGAGCGGAAUUGGUAUAUUGGUAUCAAAUGUGUUUGAUGGAGCAGUGACAGAAUGGAGUGACCCUAAUGGCUCAGGCAUCGCUGUUCCUCUUCCUCUCUCAGCUCUUCUAAUGGGAGCCCGGUUGUUGGUCAUUCUACUGCAGCUCUGAGAAAACCGACUAUCACACUGGAUUCUAAGUCUGAUGCGUGUGAGCUCUCGAUAAAUGUUUUUUACUUUAUAUUAUAUCCUAAAUAAAUCAAUCGAAAUGAGAAAAUGCACAGGAACAAAGAAAAUGUUGACUUAAAAGGUUUUGCUCGCUUGCUGUGUUGUAGUGAAUGGAAAUGCAAUAUCAUUGAAACACAUUGUCACCAAGUGUGUGUAUGACAUUUUGAACAGUGCGACAACUAAUUAGGCAGCAAACAUAUUCUUCAUAGGAAUUUCACUGACUAUCUAUUUGACAGAGAUGUGUUAAUAUAUUAGUAUAUACAGUAUUAACAUGGUGAUAACCCCCUAACAGUACUAGCUAAGAGCAGAAAGUGAAAAUGUUACCCAUAGAAGAGACAGAGGAUAUGAUUGUAUUUACAGUGCAUUCGAAAAUUAUUCAGACCCCUUAAUUUUUCCCACAUCAAUCUACACACAAAACCCCCAUAAUGACAAAG